rnacentral:rRNA from 1 species
GGGGAAUUUUGGACAAUGGGCGCAAGCCUGAUCCAGCCAUGCCGCGUGAGUGAAGAAGGCCUUCGGGUUGUAAAGCUCUUUCGGACGGGAAGAAAUGGCGGGCUCUAACAUAGCCUGUCGAUGACGGUACCGUAAGAAGAAGCACCGGCUAACUCCGUGCCAGCAGCCGCGGUAAUACGGAGGGUGCAAGCGUUAUCCGGAUUCACUGGGUUUAAAGGGUGCGUAGGCGGGAUAAAAAGUCAGUGGUGAAAUCCUACAGCUUAACUGUAGAACUGCCUUUGAUACUUUUAUUCUUGAGUUCGGGAGAGAGAGACGGAAUUCCAGGUGUAGUGGUGAAAUACGUAGAUAUCUGGAAGAACACCAGUUGCGAAGGCGGUCUCUUGGUCCGACACUGACGCUGAGGCGCGAAAGCGUGGGGAGCAAACA